GUUGAAAGGAACGGAGAACAUCACAACUUCAGUCACUGAAGUGAAGACAGCAUAUUGGACGCAACUUAAAAGAUUUCUUCUGGAACAAUGAUGAAGAUUUUAUCCAUUCUACUUCUGGUUGCUGUAGGGACAACUGCUGCCCCAA